rnacentral:rRNA from 1 species
AACGAACGCUGGCGGCAUGCCUAACACAUGCAAGUCGAACGAGACCUUCGGGUCUAGUGGCGCACGGGUGCGUAACGCGUGGGAACCUGCCCUUAGGUUCGGAAUAACUCCCCGAAAGGGGUGCUAAUACCGGAUAAUGUCUUCGGACCAAAGAUUUAUCGCCUUUGGAUGGGCCCGCGUUGGAUUAGCUAGUUGGUAGGGUAAAAGCCUACCAAGGCGACGAUCCAUAGCUGGUCUGAGAGGAUGAUCAGCCACACUGGGACUGCGACCCGGCCCAGACGCCUACGGGAGGCAGCAGUGGGGAAUAUUGGACACUGGGCGAAAGCCUGAUCCAGCAAUGCCGCGUGAGUGAUGAAGGCCUUAGGGUUGUAAAGCUCUUUUACCCGGGAUGAUAAUGACAGUACCGGGAGAAUAAGCUCCGGCUAACUCCGUG